UACGAGGGGCGUAUGUCUAUUCUAUUAUACAGAUACUAAUUUUUUGGUUUAUAGGGCUACCACAUCCAAGGAAGGCAGCAGGCGCGCAAAUUACCCAAUCCCGACACGGGGAGGUAGUGACAAUAAAUACUGAUACAGGGCUCUUUUGGGUCUUGUAAUUGGAAUGAGUACAAUUUAAAUCCCUUAACGAGGAACGAUUGGAGGGCAAGUCUGGUGCCAGCAGCCGCGGUAAUUCCAGCUCCAAUAGCGUAUAUUAAAGUUGUUGCAGUUAAAAAGCUCGUAGUUGAACCUUGGGCCUGGCUGGCCGGUCCGCCUCACCGCGUGCACUGGUCCGGCCGGGCCUUUCCUCCUGGGGAGCCGCAUGCCCUUCACUGGGUGUGUCGGGGAACCAGGACUUUUACUUUGAAAAAAUUAGAGUGUUCAAAGCAGGCCUAUGCUCGAAUACAUUAGCAUGGAAUAAUAGAAUAGGACGUGUGGUUCUAUUUUGUUGGUUUCUAGGACCGCCGUAAUGAUUAAUAGGGAUAGUCGGGGGCAUCAGUAUUCAAUUGUCAGAGGUGAAAUUCUUGGAUUUAUUGAAGACUAACUACUGCGAAAGCAUUUGCCAAGGAUGUUUUCAUUAAUCAGUGAACGAAAGUUAGGGGAUCGAAGACGAUCAGAUACCG
rnacentral:rRNA from 1 species